rnacentral:rRNA from 1 species
AGCCCCCUGAGUUAUAGGGACGAUUAUUUAGCCUAAAGCGUUCGUAGCCGGCUCAGCAAGUCUUUCGUUAAAUCUAGCGACUCAAUCGUUAGGCCGCGGAAGAUACUACUAGGCUUGAGGACGGGAGAGGUCGACGGUAUUCCCGGUGUAGGGGUGAAAUCCAAUAAUCCCGGGAGGACCACCAGUGGCGAAGGCGGUCGACCAGAACGUGCCUGACGGUGAUGGACGAAAGCUGGGGGAGCAAACCGGAUUAGAUACCCGAGUAGUCC